AUAGCUUGAGACCGUCUCCUGUCUCCGCAACACACCGUGUUUUGCAAUGGAAAUCAUGCACAGUUGGGUGGUAAAAGUUGUAAUAUCCUUAUAUUUUUGCGUGAUCCUGAAACUGAAAUUGAUAUUAAACUCGUUGUUACACUGCUAACUGUGAUGCAUGAAGUUAGAGGGUCAUAAUGUAAUCCCUCCGAAUGCAUGCGAGAUUCAGUCAGAAAUAUUGACAAAAUCUGUUUCAGUCACUUGGGUCAGAGCAGGAUCUGCGCCGCCAUCGUCAAUGACACAUUGAAACCCUAAUUGGAAACCCUAAACUUUUGUUCACCAUGUAUACUUAUAAAGUCGGUCUCACCUUCACUCUGAAAUCGAACUUCAUCUGUGAGAUUCCUCCUCCCUCUCUCUGUGUAGUUAUUAGUUAGGGUUCAGUUGUGUGACUAGAUAUUGUGGGCUUUUGUUUUGAUGUGUGUAGUGUACACUGUGAGGAUAUCUACUUUUGGUUGAGAGCCUGCUCAUUGAUGGAUCCAAACCUCCUACUCGUUCUGAAUGCCACUUUCGUUACUGCGUGUGUCCAGAAUAAUCAAGACAGUUGAUGAAACACGUUUGCAUGGGUAAUUUGCGCCUGAAUUCUGUGAUGCAAAACACCUUGGAGAACUGAUGUCUAUCCAUAGUCCGUUUUUUUUUGUAGGGUUAGGGUUUCAGCGUGCCCCUUCCUUAUUAUUUCAUGUGGUAGAAGCCUUUAGCUGAGAUCUUCUGUCGUUUCUUCUCUAUCUAUUCGGUGUGCUAACGAAGAUACAGCGCGGUUUUAAAUUGUGGAAUUUUCGUUGGUACGCACUAUGAGGAAAUGAAUUUGGUUGAGAGCUUGCUCGCUGAUUGAAACCAAACCUUCUACUCAUUCUGAGUGCUCUUUUUAGCGUAGAGUGUAUAUGAAUUACUUAAGGCAUGUGAUGAAACAAAUUUGCAUGGGUAAUUUGCGCCUGAUCUCUGUGAUGCAAAACACCUUGGAGAACUGAUGCCUGUCCAGAAUGUGAGUGGAGUAGAUUGGAGUCAGUCUGGAAGACCAGUGAGGAUCUUUAUUUGGAAUUACCGGCUGAAGGUUUUACUCAAAUCUGAAUGCUGAGAACUGGCUGACUGAGGUCUUCCCUUUAAGUCAAUUGAUUGUCGCCAACCUGCCACGAAAUGGGUAGUUUGAACUAUGACCCAUAAUUCGACCAGGGUUGGGCGUAGAUUUCUUUUCACUUCUCGAUAGGAAGCCAAGUGCAUGCCGUGAAGGCUGUUGCAUAUUGGCGCCAUUUACGGUGAUGACAUCUUCUCACGACUUUUGUCACACAUGUCAGGAAUUUUUGUGUAUGCAUCAGAUGAAGAAAAUAUUGAUUGUUCGGGAAAAAGUGAGCAAUGUCAAUUUGGAAUGUUAAUAUCCCGUGAAAUUGUUUGCCGGAAAUAUUGGAGGUGUUAACAUUCUGGUAUCUCGAUCAUCAGGUGGUAGCAGAUUGAGCAAUUUAUUGAUCCAGAAGAUAUGUAGCAACAAUUCUCAGUCAAUUGUGUCAUCUCUACGAUGAACAGUGCAGUGAACACUCGCACAAUCGUCUUGCUACAAAUGCAUCGAUGGAAAUGAAAUUUAGCUUACAAAUUGACUAAAUAUCAUGUAACCAGCAGUAGUUGUGGUACUUAGUCACACCAACUUCUAGUUAACCUGAUGUUUUCUUAACUCCUCUGCCACAUAUUUCUGAUCAGAGAAUUGUACACUUCUCCUUCUCCUUUAUAUCAAACUAUAUUCCUGGGGGUGGUGAAACAA